rfam:Paenibacillus sp. Y412MC10, complete genome.
CAACUGAAUAUUUUAUUUGAAUGUAUAACCUCAUUAAUAUGGUCUGAGGGUCUCUACCAGGAACCGGAAAAUCCUGACUACAGAAAAUGUUUACUCAUUU